AAACCCGGUGAUCUAGCCAUGGGCAGGUUGAAGGUUGGGUAACACUAACUGGAGGACCGAACCGACUAAUGUUGAAAAAUUAGCGGAUGACUUGUGGCUGGGGGUGAAAGGCCAAUCAAACCGGGAGAUAGCUGGUUCUCCCCGAAAGCUAUUUAGGUAGCGCCUCGUGAACUCAUCUUCGGGGGUAGAGCACUGUUUCGGCUAGGGGGCCAUCCCGGCUUACCAAACCGAUGCAAACUCCGAAUACCGAAGAAUGUUAUCACGGGAGACACACGGCGGGUGCUAACGUCCGUCGUGAAGAGGGAAACAACCCAGACCGCCAGCUAAGGUCCCAAAGUCAUGGUUAAGU
rnacentral:rRNA from 1 species